rnacentral:lncRNA from 1 species
AAGGCGAUGGGGCUGGUUGCUGCUUUUGUCAGAGAGGGAAUGAACGGAGGGAGGCAACGUGGGUUUAGGCUUCUGCCGGCGACUGGUGGAUGUCGUUGUUGUCGUUGUCGAUGGCUAGUAGCGUAGCAGCGCUGGUUUUGAUCGCGGUUGGCAGCGAUGGGGGAAGGACGGCUGGAGGCGGGUCUUCAACGGCUGGAGCUGGAUGGCGACGGGCUUCCUUGGUCGUUGACCGGCAGAUGGAGGAACGAGGCGGUGAGGGUGGACAGGUGAAGAUAAAGAGAGUGAGGGAAGAAAGAUGGAGAAGGAGGGAGAAGUUAGAGAGAGAGCUUGAGUGAGGCAAUAUUUUUUGGAGAAAUGGGAUUAGGGUUAGUUUGGUCUUUUAAAAAGAAAAAAAGCUUGAAUCCAUCUCAUCCAUUGAUCAAUUUGAUCAAUGGCUGAGAUUAAAAUAGGGCCAAAACUUUAAUUUGGUUAAAAUUGAUAUAUUUGUGGCUAAAAGUGAUAAGCACUGUUAUGCAAUCUGGCUAGAAUUGACAUAAAUGUGGCUAGUAUUGUAAUAAAUUAGGUAAGAAUUAGGCUAUGAGAUAAAUAAAUUGGACAAAUAGCUUUAAUUUUAGGCUGUUAUUUAAAUCAAAGUAGGGAUAAUAAUGUAGGAUAAUAAUAAUUAAAUAAUAAAUAAUACUAUUAAAUAAUAAAUAAUAAUAAUAAAUAAUAAAUAAUAAUAAUAAUAAUUACUAAUAAUAAUAAUUAAUAAUAAAUAAUAAUAAUAUUUUAAUAAAUAAAUAAUGGAAAACUAGAUAAUGUAUUUGUAAAAAAUGUGGAUGUGCAUAAUUACGUGAAAAUAAUUUAAUUUAUGAAAAAAUAUCGUAUUUAAUUUUAAAAAUUAUAAAAAUGAUGCCAAAGGAUGAUAAAAUAAUUUAUGCAUUUUCUGAAUGUGAUACGUUCGUACGUAUUUUCAGUAAAAUAAUAUGUAAAAAUGUUAAUAAUUAAAAUUAAAUAAUUUGAUAAAAUAACAGCCUAAAAGUGAUAUUGGGAGGUCAAAAUUGGGUGUCAACAGCUGCCCUUUUGUUGUUUGAGAAUGAUGAAAGAAUUUUCAAACAACGAAAGUUGACGUAGUAGCCAAUUUUGUCCGACCGAGAAGGAUUCGUUGGAAUUAGGGCAACAAGAGGUGUUAAAAAAAUAGUGUGGCCGAGACUUUGGCUUUAAGUUGCCUACAUAUCUCUAUUUUUACGAGAAUCAGGCCGUGUGUUGUUCUAGAUUUAGGAAUGUACAAUAUUGCUACAGAAUAUUAAUGACAAAAGUUGGGGCGUCAAAAAAUGGUAUUGUGGUUCGGAUGCGAUUUGGGACAGGAUGAAAUAAUGACGUAUGGAGAAUUUUGAAGAUGUUGAUGUCGGUGAGUUUCAGGAUGAGUUUAAGUGGUGGAUGAAUAGAUGGAGUAAUAUUUCAAAAAUAGAAAUAAAAAUUGUCUCUGUUUGUUAUUCCUUCUCCGUUACCCGCGUCUUUAUAUCACUAAAUAACAGGGUAAGAAAUAUAGUCAUUUGAUAAAUGUACCAUAAUUGUGAAGAUAAAGAAAGCGUAUCUGUUUUAUAAUCUGCUGCUUGGCUUCUCAUCGUGGGAUCAGCUUUGGGGCUUCUCCAUCGUUGAAUCAGCAUUGGGUUUUUCCAUCGUCGGAUCAUCAUUGGGAUUUUCCAUUGUCGGAUUGGCAUUGGGCUUUUCCAUCAUCGGUUUAGCAUCUGGGCUUCCCCAUCGUCAGAUCAGCAUGGACUUCUCCAUCGUCAGAUCAAUAUUUGGCUCUUCCAUCGUCGGGUCGACAUUUGAGCUUCUCCAUCAUUAGAUCAGUAUUAGGGCUUCCCCAUCGUUGGUUCAGCAUUUGGGCUUCCCCAUCGUCGGAUUAGUAUUGGGAUUUUCCAUCGUCGGAUCAGUAUUGGGUUUUUCCAUCGUCGGAUCAACAUUUGAGAUUUUCCGUCAUCUGAUCGGUAUUUGAGCUUUUCCAUUGUCGGAUCAGCAUUUGGGUUUCCCCAUCAUCGGAUCAUCAUUUGACCUUCUCCAAUGUCGGAUCAGCAUUUGAGCUUCUCCAUCAUCAGAUCAACAUUUUGGCUUCUCCAUCGUCAGAUCGGCAUUGGAUUUUUUCCAUAGUUGGAUUAGCAUUUGGGCUUCUCCAUCGUCUGAUCAUCAUUUUGGCUUCUCCAUCAUCGGAUCGGCAUUUUGUCUUCUCUAUCGUCGGAUCAGCAUUGGAGCUUCUCCAUUUUCGGAUCAGCAUUUGGGCUUCUCCAUCGUUGUAUCAGCAUUUGGGCUUCUCCAUCGUCGGAUCAACAUUGGGAUUUUCCAUCAUUGGAUCGAUAUUUGAGCUUCUCCACUGUCGGAUCAGCAUUUGAGCUUUUCCAUUGUCGGAUCAGUAUUUGGGAUUCUCCAUCAUCGGAUCAACAUGGGAGCUUCUCCAUCGUGUAAUCGUAGCCCGUACCUGCCACUUGUAGCUUGAUUUGACAGAAAUAAUUAUUAAGAAUAGAGGAUUUAUAGAAAACAAAUGUAACGGUAGAGAUAGUGAAAGAUAAGAAAGCGUAGCUGUCUUGUAGUUAGAUCGAUCGUGAUGUUUUUGCCAUGAUGUUUGAUUGUCGAUUGCUCAUUCUUGGUGGAAUGGUUGCUGUUAUUUGUACCUAUUAAUCCUGUAUCCAACAAAAAAUUGUGAGUUUGUAAAAAGGGGAAGUUGAUUUGUGCUUUUGCCUUGACUGGAGUAUUCUCCUCAUGACGUCGUCGCCUUGUUGAUGAACUUUAUCCGUGCCUUCACUUGGGUAGACAGAUAGUAAAAGGAAGACUAUUUUUGAAAAUAAAAUCAUGUUUGAAAAGAAAAUUUGUCUUUUGAAAGUAGUAAGUAAAAUUUGUUAGAAUACACAUGAAAAUUUUGUUGAAUCAUUGAUUUUGACAUGUUUUGAGAUGGUACAACAUCUUGCACAUCCUUGUUCUCUUGCUCAGAAAUUUGAGAAACGCUCAAAAAUUUCUGCCCCAGUAUACAACUAAACUUGUUGCGAGAAUUCCAGCGUCUUGCUCUUAGAAUUUUUGAGGUUGUCUCAAAAAUUCUGCCCCAGUUUGUAAUUUAUGCCAACAUCAUGUCCACGUGGAAUUUCUGAGGUCCUCUACAAAAUUCUACCCUAGUUACAGUACUCCCAGAGCGGGGAAUAAAAUAUUUUAUUAUGGAGUGCUCGAACUCCACAGGAGCGCCUAUGUAUCUCUCUUAAACAGGAAUCAGGUCGAACGUAGUUCCAAAUACAAUUCAAGGGGCAUAAAGAUAAAAUUAAACAUAAUAUAUCUUAACAGCGUCCGAAUUGAUGGGUUUAGACCAAACCACGCCAUCCAUUUCUGCAAGUAUAAAUGCUCCUCCUGUCAGGACUCGAUGAACCACGUAAGGGCCUUGCCAAUUAGGCAAGAACUUGCCCUUUGCCUCAUCUUGGUGUGGAAAAAUUCGCUUCAGAACCAGUUGUCCAGGCGCGAAGUGUCUUGGCUAACCUUUUUUGAAAGCUUUGGUCAUUCUGUUCUGAUAGAGUUGACCAUGGAUAACUGCUUUUAUUCGUCUUCCAUCAAUGAGCGCCAGUUGCUCAAAUCAUUUUUGUAUCCAUUCAGCGUCACUCAAUUUUGCUUCUUGGAUAAUUCUUAGAGAUGGUAUUUCGACCUCAGCUGGUAUUGCUUCUUCGUUUCCAUAAACUAGAAAGUAAGGCGUAGAGCCUGUGGAUGUUCUGAUGGUGGUACGGUACCCUAGCAAUGCGUAGGGUAGCUUUUCAUGCCAAUGUCAACUGUUGUCAAUCAUGUUACGCAGGAUCCUCUUGAUAUUCUUAUUUGCUGCCUCAACUUCUCCGUUUAUUUGUGGCCUGUAAGUUGUGGAAUUUCGAUGCUUGGUCUUGAACUUCUCACAUGUGGCUUUCAUCAGGUCGCUGUUGAGAUUAGAACCAUUGUCAGUGAUGAUGGAUUCGGGAAUUCUGAAUCGACAAAUGAUGUUGCUUCGAACGAAGUUGUUUACGACCUUUUUUGUGACUGAUUUGUGAGAGGUGGAUUCUACUCACUUGGUGAAGUAGUCAAUUGCAACAAGGAUGAAUCUGUGACCAUUGUACGUGGCCGGCUCAAUGGGACUAAUGAUAUCCAUGCCCCAAGCUGCGAAGGUCCAAAGAGAGUUGGUGACAUGAAGUUCGUUGGGAGAAACUCGAAUUAUAUCAGCAUGAGUUUGACACUGGUGGCAUUUUUGCACGUAGCGGAUGCAAUCAUUUUCCAUGGUCAGCCAGAAGUAGCCUGAUCUUAAUAUCUUCUUUUCCAACAUGAAGCCGUUCAUAUGUGGACCGCAUGUUCCGACAUGUACUUCGUUAAUUAGCCUGGAUGCCUUUUCGACCUCGACGCAUCUUAGAAACCCCAAAUCAGGAGUCCUCCUAUAUAGGAUUUCUCCAUUUAGGAAGAAUUGGUUGGCUAGCCUCCGAAUGGUACAUUUUUGAACACUUGUCGUAUUCUCAGGAUAGUCUCCACUUUUCAAAUACCUUUGUAUGUUUGUAUACCAUGGUUUUUUGUUUGAUUUCUCUUCAACAUGGAAGCAAUGCGUGGGCUGUUCAUGUACGUGAAUGGGAAUAAGAUCAAUGUAAUUUUUGUCUGGAUGUUGGAUCAUGGAGGACAAAGUGGCCAAAGCGUCUGCAAACUCAUUCUGGAUCCUUGGUACGUGUUUGAACUCUAUCUUGUGGAACUUCUUGCACAUCUCUUGUACAUACUCCAUAUAAGGUAGGAGUUUUGUGUUUUUAAUAGCGUAGGAGUUUUGUGUUUUUAAUAGCCCACUCACCUCGUACCUUAUGGAUCAAUAAGUCUGAAUCUUCAAUUACCAAUAUAUCUUGUACAUUCAGGUCAAUAGCCAAUCAGAGCCCUAAGAUGCAGGCUUCAUAUUCGGCCAUAUUGUUAGUGCAAGGAAACCUGAGCUUGGCCGACACAGGAUAGUGUUGACCAAUUUCGGAGAUCACAAUAGCGCCAAUUCCAACUCUUUUGAAGUUUUCAGCUCCGUCAAAGAAUAGUCUCCAACUGUUGUAUUCAUUAGAGAUGUCCUCUCCUUUGAAUGCCACCUCCUCAUCAUGAAAGUAAGUUUUCAAUGGUUGGUACUCAUCGUCCACGGGAUUCUUGACCAGAUGAUCUACGAGUGCUUGUGUUUUUAUCGCUUUUUGAGUGACAUAAACUAUGUCAAAUUCACUCUACAGUAUCUGCCAUUUGGCCAACUUUCCAGUAGGCAUCGGCUUCUGGAAGAUAUAUUUCAGUGGAUCCAUUCUGGACAUCAAGUAAGUAGUAUGUGCUGAGAGAUAGUGCCUUAACUUUUGAGCCACCCAAGUUAAAGCGCAACAGGUGCACUCCAGAAGAGAAUAUCGUGCCUCAUAAGUAGUGAACUUCUUGCUCAUGUAGUAGAUGGCCUGUUCUUUCUUUCCUAUCUCGUCAUGCUGUCCCAAAAUGCAUCCGAAUGCAUUGUUGGUCACAGAUAGAUACAAUAGCAGCGACCUACCAGGUUUGGGAGAAACCAAAAUAGGAGGAUUUGAUAGAUAAUCCUUGAUCUUGUUGAAUGCUUAUUGGCACUCCGUUGUCCAUUCUACAACAACAUCUUUCUUUAACAACUUGAAAUCGAUCCACAAAUGACUGCGGAUUGGGCUAUGAACCGGCUAAUGUAGUUGAGACGACCCAAUAAGCUCAUGACAUCCUUCUUACUUUUCGGAGGAGAAAGAUCUUGGAUGGCCUUGAUCUUAGCAGGGUCUAGUUCUAUUCCCAUACGACUGACAAUGAAGCCCAAUAAUUUCCCCGCGGGUACUCCAAAGAUGUACUUCACUGGGUUCAACUUCAAAUUAUACUUCCUCAACCUGUCAAAGAUUUUUUCUAGAUCUGCCAAAUAACAUGUACCUUUUCUUGAUUUGAUGAUGGCGUCGUCCACAUAAACUUCAAUCUCCUUGUGGAUCAUGUCGUGAAAUAAAGUGGUCAUGGCCCUCAUAUAGGUAGCUCCAGCAUUUUUUAGACCAAACGACAUGAAUUUGUAGCAGUACACUCCCCACGGAGUAAUAAAAGCAGUUUUCUUCAUCUUCAUGCAUCUUAAUUUGGUGAUAACCGGCGAAGAAAUCCACGAAUGAUUGUGUUUCAUGCUUGGCACAAUUAUCGAUCAAGAUAUGGAUAUUCGGGAGCGGAAUGUCAUCUUUGGGACUAGCGUUGUUGAGAUCCUUAUAGUCUACACACACUCUGACUUUCCCAUCCUUCUUGGGGACAGGUACAAUAUUGGCCAACGAGGUUGGAUACUUUAUCACUCGAAGAAUAACAGCUUCGAUUUGUUUUGAGAUCUCCUCUUUGAUUUUCAAACUCAGAUCAAGCUUGUAUUUUUGGAGUUUCUAUUUGACCGGUGGACAAGAUGGGUCUGUAGGCAGUCUGUGAGCCACUAUUGAAGUGCUUAGUCCCUUCAUGUCAGCAUAAGACCAAGCAAAUACAUCUGGAUAAUUUUUCAGGAAUUGGACGUAUUCCUCCUUCUCUUCUUUGGAUAGAUGGACGCUGAUGUGGGUUUCUUUUACGUCCUCAGGAGACCCUGUGUUCACUAUUUUUGAUUCUAUGAGAUUUGCCUUAGGUUUGUCUUCAAAAUCUUCAACCUUAGUGACAAAUUCUUGGGGAAUCUCAAAGUCCCCUGUAUUAUCAACUUUGCUUAUAUUAUGUUGUAUUGUCUCGUUAGACGUCAUAAUCUCAUAUUCAAUAAUUUUAGAUGUGAGUUUUAUGAAAGAAAAAGGUAAAUAAAGAACAUUAAUAAUCAGAAAGGAAAAUUUUAUUGAUAAAGUGAAUGUCGUGAAACAUAGUGCUGAAAUGAAAAUAAAGAAACUAGAAUUUCAAAACAUCUCGACUAAUCAAGUUUAUUAAGAAAAUAAAUGCUAAAACAUUAAUCUUCAUCAUGUCUACCCAAGUGCAUGGCGUGGCCUGGAAGGAGUGACAGUCCAGCUACUGGCAGCGACUUUUGCUCAUUGAUUGGGCUAGGGGCCCCUCCCUCCCCGUUAAUAAUGACAUGACAACCAUCUUUCUCCGUCAGAAAAAGAAACCUUAAACUCUUUAAGAUGUCUUCUUCCAAAUUGUCCAGAAAACCAACUGAAUGAAAGAUCUUAUGUAGUGUAGGCAAUGGAUUUGGUAGAGGGCAGUAGCGACCAAUAGGUGACUCCCAGUCGAGGUACUCCUCCGGAGUGUAUUCGUACCUCAGGCCGAAGGUGUUGUUCUGGAACUUUGGCCGUAUAGGUUCGAUGAUUCCUUGCCAUUUUUCUCCCAAAUCCUUACUAGGUUCAUACCCUUUUAUCAUCUUUCCCCCUAUGUUCAACCAAGUCAUAUCUACCCCCAUGAUAUCAUCUUCGAUCAUGUCUGCCUCCUCAGUUUCAAUAUCAUCUAGGUAUUCUUCAAAGAAGGUGAUGUCCUCGAUCAGGGUGAGCCUUUUAAGCAUCUCUGUUAUCUCAAUAACAUCUUUAUUUUCAUGAAAUCCUGCAGAAAUAAAGAUUUGGUAUAAUGACAAUGCAGGGUCGGGUGUUCUUUUGCCUUUAUAGCCUAGCUCGUAAUCGUGUUCCCUUUCAUUAACUACCAGAGGAUCAAUUAUCCCUUGCAAUCUGGCCCCAAGACCUUUGUCCUCUUCGUACCCAAACCAACGCAUGUAACUCCAAGCGUUCAAGGGUUUCUCAAGUUGCAUGCAACUUAUGGUGUCUUUUUCAACAUUCCCAAUCCAUUGUAAAACGUUAAGCCCUCCUUCGCCCUAGAUCAGUACUUCUUGUUGAAAGUACUCGAAUCAAACACGGGACUACAUCGGCUAUAUGGAUCCAAGGCCGCCCAAGCAGCAAAUUAUAUGAGGUAGGAAUAUCCAAUACCUGAAAGAGUAUAGGGAAUGCGGCAGGUCCUAAUGUGACGUUUAACAUGAUCUCCCCGAUAGUGUUUUACCGCGAGCCAUCAUAUGCCCUUAUGACCCUUAUCCGGGAAUGAAUCCUAGUCAUAUCAAUUUCAAAAUGCGUCAAGGUAGCCAGGGGGAAAAUAUUUACCCCAGAUCCAAGAUCAAUCAUUACUCGCGAAAUAUCUCUUCCUUCAUAUUGUACGGUGAAAAACAACGCAUCAUUGUGCAGUCCUCCUUCAAUGCUUCCUACCAACUCAAGAGUAUGGAACAUUUCUCCGUCCAGGUCUUUUUUUCCUUCUACGGCGUAUAUUGGGUGUCCCUUCUCCCCAUGUAUCACAACCUCUUGAUGAUCGUAUUCAAACUUGAGGCACUGAUAAAGAGUGGAGGAUACAGCACCAGCCGCAUGAAGCCAAGGACGUCCGAGCAGCAAAUUAUAAGACGCAGGAAUGUCCAUCACCUAGAAGGGUAUGGAGAAAGGGACUGGACCCAUCAUCAUGUCCAAUGUAAUUUCUCUGAUUGUGCCCUUUUGAGAGCCAUCGAACCCCUUCACAUUCAUUUUCCACAUUUACAUCUUGGACAUAUCGAUCUCCAAUCUGGUUAAGGUGUUCAAAGGGCAAAUAUUCAAUCCCAAGCCUGGAUCAAUCAGAACAUGGGAUAUUAUCUUUUCUUUGUACUGCAGUGUGACAUAUAGAGUCCGAUUAUGCGCUCUUCCUUCAGGCGACAAUUCAUCAUUAUGGAAUGAAAUCUUGUAAGCCUCAAGUACCUGCCCCACUAUGUGGGCCAUUUCUCCCUCUGUAGUGUAGCUGGCACAUAAGCUUGACCUAAGACCCUUAUUAAGGCCUUUUGGUGGUUCUCUGAAGUCUAGAGCAAUUUUAAUAUUGAGAUCUGGGCCAGAGUCUUACUCAGCUAUUCGGCCACGGAAUACUUCUUUGCAUGUACCUUCUUUCAGAUGCCAUCUUCAACCACGGUGGCAGGUUGCUUUCCUUUGCUAGAUCUUUCUUAAAGCAAAUUUUCAGGAAUGUAUAUUCUGCCUGAUCUGGUGACUCCUUAUGCAACGUCUUUUUUGGAUACCUUCGCCUUCCUGGGGAAGUUGAUGUCAUAGUCCCAUGGUACUGCAUGAGGAUUGGUUACAGCUGCAGUAGCUCUUACUACAGUGAAAGAAGCCUUGGGUGUAGCAACCUCAACCUUAAAUGGAAUCUAUCUCCAUACCGUGAUGGGGGAUUUGCUUCCUUCCUCAAUAACCCAGAUAGAGUACUCUAAGUAUACAUCAUCAUCGACCAAGAUCAUAUUCACCUCAUGAGUAGGGAAAAAAAGUAUUAUUGGUGACAUUGGGUUCCGGGUCCUUCAACUGGAUCACUUUAGUAUCAAUCAGUUGUUGGACUUUGUUUUUCAAGGCGUAGCACGCCUCUAUAGGAUGUCCCCUCAUUCCAAAGUGGUAUGCAUAUGUCUGAUCAUAUCGAUAUUAUGGGGAUUUCACAUCAACUUAUACGGUCGGAAUGGUCGUGAUGUGACCCGCCUUCUUGAGCCUUUCAUAGAGUUGAGCCAUUGGCUCAGCUAAAGAAAUGUACCAUUUUUUCUCAAUAUUUCUCUUAGGCUUAGGAGCAGCAGGCCUAGUAGCAGGGACAUGAGUGGGUCGGGCCGUUUGGACUUGUAUAGGUUGGGCAUUAUAUAUGGGGUAGGAGGGACUUGAGAAUUAUGGAGGCAUUUGGUAAGGUUGAGGCAUUUGAUUUAGUGGGGUUUGAUAUGGCAUUGGACUUUGUGGUGGGUAGGGAGUAGUAUAGGGUAUUUGUAGCUAGGAUGAGGUAGACGGAGUGGUGGUCGUAUGGCUCGAGACGUUCUCGAAAGGCUGGGCCUCCAUCACUGACCCUAUCUUCUUUUUCUUCUUAUUUUUCGCCAUUCCUGCGGACUGUGUCUUUAAACGGAUAAUACUACCGUUCUUAAGACACUCUUCAAAUAUCUCUCUGAUUCUGAUAAUUUUGAAGAAGCUCUUGUCUGUGACUGUUAUCAUCUUGUCAAGGUACUACGGCUCUUGUGCGUUGACAAAAUAUUCUUUCAGUUGUUGCUCUUCGACUGGAGGCUGAGCUCUUGCAGCCUCGGCCCUCCACCUCAUGGCAUAUUCGCAGAAGGAUUUAUUAGGCUUCUUCCUUAUUGCCUGCAUGUAAGUCCAACUCGGAGCAUUGUUGAUAUUGUACCCGAAUCGAUCAAUGAAGCUAGACGCCAUGUCAAGCCAGUCUACCCAUUUCUUCACAUUUUCUCAAGAUACCAUGUGAGAGCCUCCCCCGUGAGGCUUCUCAUGAACAGCUUCAUCCAAAUUUUUGCGUUCUUCCCUGCAUCUAAAAGCUUGUUGCAGUACACACUCAGAUGUGCUUUAGGAUCUCCAGUCUCGUUGUAUAACUCAAACUUGGGAGGUUUGUAUUCCUCCGACAGUUCAACAUUGGGGUGAAUGCAUAAGUCUUCGUAAUUGAGACCCUUUAUGGCUUUGAUUCCCUCCAAAUAUCUCAACCUUUCAACUACAGCUUUCAUGGUAUAGUUAUUUUCAGGGUUCUCAAAAGUGGGUUGAGGAUGGUCAAGUGGAAGUGUUUCAACAUAGAUGAGGUUCAAAUUGUGGCUUCCGAAAGUAUGAUGGUGGUAUAUGUUUGGAUGUGGAGGUUUUUGUGGGGAUGGAUAAGUGGAGUUCCUUGGUUCUUGGGUAGGCAUAUAUAGUGGAGUUGUGGUAUUUUGGAUUUUUUAAAUGUUGGUAGGAUUUUAGGGUUGAAGAUGAGGUAUUGGAUGGUCUGAGGGAGCUUGGGAUUUCGGGAUGGUAAAGCUAUCGGCUUGCAAUUCUGGAGUAUUCAGGUUGAGGGAGAGUUUAGCCAAGUUGUGCACUUGCGCCAAUUCUGCUUGCAGUUCCAGAAUUUUCUGUUCCAUUUUCAAUAUCACUUCAUUCUGACCCAUGAUUCUAUCCACUUAUGAACUAGUACCUUCUUUUUCCCAAUAACAUGACGAUCACCCAUUACUUCUUUUCUUACAGGAUGAGGAGGAAGAGCCCCUUUCGAUCUAGUAUGAUAGUCUAGAAUGCACAAAUCAACCUAUGGGGAAGGGGAGAACAAAAUAAAUAAAACAAAAGGUGAAAAAGUUAGUGUGUUAGUUAUAAAAGAAUGCACAUGAAAAAUAUGAACAUGAUUAUAGUGUGUAGCUAUAAAAUAAUGAAUCACAUAGCACAUUGUUUGAUGCGUCCUAUGAUGGGAGCCUCUUUGAGCCAGAGGUAGGCCUAUCGUUGUUUGAGAGAUAAUUAUGUCAUAAAAUAAUACCAUUUGCUCAAAGAAAAACCCCAAAAUAAAAUAAAAUAAAAUAAAAAAAACUUUAUUUCAAUUGAAUUGUUUCAACGUUGCAGAAAAUAAAGUAAAUACAUGAAUGCCUAAAAAAUGAAUGCUAGGUUUUGAAUAUGCCCUCUUCUUGCUCUUCCUUGUCAUCUUCUAGGACCUUGUCAAGGUGGUGGUGGCUUGCCAAGAGAUAGGAUGAUGCUAAUUUCCCUCCUAUGCUUUCCAUAUUGGUGCACUCUCGUCCUUGCUUGUAGAAUUCAUCUCGUAGUUCUAUUACCUUUCUUUCUAUUAUCAAAGCACGACGCUUCCACGACUCCAUUUGUUUCCCCAUGUUGGCCAUUUCUUUGGCGUUCUCCGCAAUAAUGUGGCAAUAAGGUGCCUCAGAUGCUAAAGCUCUCUUCUUGAAUUUGCAAUAGAGGAAUUGUGCCUCGGCCUCUUUGUCAUUGACAAGUCUACUUAUUUUAACGCCCAGGGUCACCUUAUUUUUCCAAUCGGCAUGCAACCACUCAAUAUAUCCCACCGCAUAGCCUGCGUUGUAUCUGUCUGUCGUAAUACUUCCCUUGUCGAGAUGAGUCUUUCCUCUCCAAGCUUUGGCCAGUUUUGUGGCAUUUGGGAUUUUGUCGUCUUCGUAGUCCAUUCGGUGUGCGUCCAUGUUGGCGACCUUUGGGAUUAUUUGUUUUUUUCCCGCUUGUCUCAUUACUCUAGUAGGUGCAUAUGGUCGUAGUCCAUGAACUCCGAUCAAAACCAAGUAAUUGUAGUGCUGAUGGUAUAUUACAAAGUACGUGCUAGGAAACCAUUCGAACAUCCAUUGCACGGAGUCUUCCAUCAGAGUGCCCAACAUUUGCCCUAAUUUUUCUGUCUCGUUUGGCCGCUUAAUCUUUGUGACUCCCAACAUGACUCGGGUAUCAUGGGAAGAGAUGUUGUCGAUCCGAAAAAACCUUGGCAUGCUUUGUAGACCAUGAAUUUUCUGGAGAUGUUCGAUCAACCAGAACUGCAGCAACAAGUUGCACCCCUCAAAAUGUCUGGCCCCAUUUUUGCAAUUUCCAAGGGACCGGUAGAUGUCGGCCACUAUCAUAGGUACGACUGUGUAAGGCUUCUUAUUAAUCCCAUUGCAUAAUGCGUCAGCUAUGGUGAUCAGUCGAGUGUGCACCACUUCUUUUGCUCCGAUUGGAAAGACCACCGUUCCCAGGAAGUAAAUGAUGAAUGCAAAAAUUUGUUUUUCUUCCCAAGAAGCAGGGUCAGAUCCCUCUGCUAUAUAUAUUGUUUUCCCUUGCUGGUAGGUUAAUCUGUUAGCUAAAUAUCUGGCGGGCAUUUUCGACCUCAUCACAUAGGCUACUAGUCGGCUGCCAUGGAGACCCACUUUGUUGCUCGCUUCCUCUAUAGUGACACUUUUGGGGAUGAUGACCUCAGCUUGUUGCCAUCUCAUUGCUCUUGGAAAUAUUUUAUUUUCCACGUAUCCCCUAAUUUCUUCCAAAAGCGGUGUCAUCUCCACAUCACCAAACCUGAAUACCGAAUUCGUUUCAUCCCAGAAUGUGGUGGCUGCUUCGAUGAGUUCCCAACAAGGAUUGAUGCCCAUGAGGUAGGUCAAACUUCCCAAUGCUUGUUCGACCCUACUUCAUCCAAAAUACCCCAAGUCUGACAACCAAUGUUCCAUGUGCGGAGGCAUGCACCAAACCAUGCUAAAUCUGGGGUUGCAGUUGGGAUGGCCAUUAAAUCUGCAAAACAAAACAUUAGUCUACCUUACCCCUAAAGAGCAAAUGGCAUUAUUUUGGCAUAAUCGUCUCUCAAAAUGCACAUAAUAGUGAGGCAUUCAUUUCGGGAUCAUGGGAUCCCUUAGAACUUAGGGCCGAAUUUUCUAGCAUAACAUCCUAGGAUUUUCGGAUGUUUAUUCCUUAAUAAAGGGAUAAACGGUUUGGCUCUAGGAAUAAGAGUGGUUUUGACACGGUCCCCCCAAGUGGACGACUUAGGAAUGGGAACGCUUGUGGCUGUCAACGCACCGCUGAUCGACUGAUCCACAAGACAUUUUCCGAAGGGUCUUUUUAGGAGUGAACGUCCGUGUAUUCACGUAACCGUUCGUAAGAGAAAAUAAAAGAGGUUUCCAAGUGGAAGAGAGUAUGAGCGGAAUGCCAUAUAUAUAAAGCAAUAACACAUAGCACAUAGCAACAAACAAGGGCAUGCUUUAGCGAUAUGAAAAACAAACAUUAAAGCAUAUAACCAAGAAUAAUUAAGCAUGGAGAGAAUGCGAAUAACACAUAAAAGGGGGAAGGAGAAGGGAUUAACAUGUAUAAUUAACCAUAAGAGUAGGCAUGAAGAAACAUGAAUGACACACAAAAAAAGGGGAAGGAUAAGGGAAUAACAUGUGUACAUUAAUUACUAUAAAAGAGCAUUUAGAUAUAGGAAACAUGAAUAACUCAUAACAAAUAGAAAAGGAGAACCUAUGAAAAUAAAUCAUGUCAAAAAGCAACAAACAAAACCAUACAGAGAGAAUCCCAGAUAAAGCAUAAAUUCGUAAUGGUUAGAACCUAAAUAAUCCCCAGCAGAGUCACUAUCCUGUUGCACCCCAUUUUUCUCGCGAAAGGCGGGAUUCGACUUGACAAACUCUCUUUGGGAUUGCAUUUGAAAGGAAGGGUGUGAGAGUCGCCACCUAACGUAUUAAGGUGCGUUAGGGCACUGGUCUAGGCUACUACAAACCUAUUUUAUCAUUUUGUCUUAGUUCACCAGAGUUUGGGUAAGGGUUCAAAUUACCUCAAAAGAAAGGUGUUAGGCACCUUUUGAGGUCCACAAAGGUGGUUCCCGCCCGAAUUCAUACUUUACAUGGGGAUUCUAUGUGAUCAAAUAAAGGUAUCUUCUUUUAUUAUUAAUUUACUAUUUAGCUAAGUGAUAAGAUAAUUAAUAAGCAAACACAUGUCAUUUGUUAAUGCUAAUUGUCGAUUAUCUAGGUGAUAAAAUAAAUAAUAAACAUAGAAAUAAGAUAAGCGAGGAGAAAGAAAUGACACAAUUUAUAAUAAAAAGGGGACUGCUUUAUAAUAAACUAGCUACCCCAGAUAAACAUGUAAAAUAAAUAAAAAGACUAAAAGAAAUCGUUCGAGUCAAACAAAGAAAUGUUUUGGUUUUGUUCAGAUCAGAAACCCAACUUGUUAAUCAUCAUCCAACCCAAGGGACUAACUCUUAGACAAGUAAUAAUUUCAUUAGCCUCUCCGUUAAUAUUUGUUGAGUUCAUCAUUUCCGAAAAAGGGCUACCCGUCCACCCUACCUAGGCUGGGUGUCAAGUCUAAGGGCGUUCUAUGACAAGGAUAAAACUAACGUUUUUAGUAAUAUUUAACGUCCUAACUAUCGUCCAAGAGGCAUUGGACUUUUCUAUUUUGGAUUUGUGUUCUAGACUAAAAGAAAGCUAUGUUGCUUAGGACUCGAAGCGCGAACAUAUUGGACAAUAAAUAGCACGUAAUAAUCCCAAGUUAGCCUAUUGAUUAGUUAAUGUUAAUUAAUGUGAUAGCAUGCAAAGACAAAUAAUUAUUCGUUAUGUUGUUAACCUAUAGACAUGAUAUCUAAAUAUUCAACAAGUAGUGAUAAAGGACGACUGUGAUUUGUGUCUGCAACAAAUAUAAUGUGUGUUCAUGAAGGGGUGUCAUAAGUGUGGCAAAUGUGUCAAACAGAAAGUGCUUGUGAAUUAAGUGUUGUAAAAUAUAGAUGAGAACAUAGGAAAUCAACAAGAAUAUUUAAAGGCAUUAACAUGUUAAGAAUGCCAUAAUAUACUUAUCUAGUGUUUAAUAUGAUGAAGAACAUUCAAACUUAACAUUUUAACAUGCUGAAAAAUUGUAUAAAACAUGCUGAAAAUAUGUUGAUGUACAUAAUUUUUAUAUUAACAUGCUAUAGUAUCAAUGUUGACAUGCUUAAAGUACCCACAUUAGAUAUACCAUAAGACGCUCAAAAGAAUGUUUUACACUAAGCAUGCUCACUUCUAAUGUUCAGAAUGUUAAAGUUAAUUAAUAAUAUGCUGAAACUAUUAUUAUUGCGCAAGUGACUUAACACUAAGGUGUUUAACAAUAUUUAUGUUAACAUGAUGAAGUAGUUAUAACAUGCUGAAAAAUUUAUUAGAUGCGUAGAAUUUUAAUGUUCUAAAGUUAAUAACAUACUAAAAUUGUAUAGAUAUACAAAAACAUGAUUUAAACAUGCUGAAAAUUGUCUUUUUAGUAUAGACAGUAAAUUAACAUAUUGGGGUGUGCGGGACGUCAAUGUGAAUAUGCUAAAACAUGCUUAAAUAAACUCUAACGUCAUAAAAGUUUGACAUGUUAAAAAAUACACUGACCGAAUUAUUUAAUACUAAACAUGCUAAAACAUAUCAAUAUGUCGACAUUGAAGUAAUCAUGCUAAAACCAAUAUCAUGCUUAGCACUAAUUACCUUAAUACGCCCAAUUAUAACAUCAACAUACGAGAAAACAUACCAAUAGACUUAUUAAUACGUAAUUAAUGUCAAGUCAAUAUGCUCAAACUUACGGGAGACAUAUAUAGAGUCACUUACACCUAAUGUUGACAUGCUAAAUAUAUAUUAAACCAACUUCACUAGUGGACGAAUUAAGCAUUACUUGUGUUAAUAAAUCCUAAUUUCAUGUGCCUAAAUGGUUCGCGUAACACGUAUUGCACCUAAUCCUAGGUUGUGCCUACUUACCUCGUUCACAGAGCAUAUAGUCCCCGCCCCCCAAAAGCAGUCCCCAAUUGUUCUUAUUACAAUAAAUAAAGUGUCUUUACAGAUAUUACAAAUCAAAUAAUAAAACUAGGAAAAAUAUACUAAAAACUAAAAAUAAUACAGGAUAAUCUAAUCCGACAUCUCUUCGGUAUCCCAUGAGUGUUUUAUUUGAACCUGUAGUGCAACAAUAUGGCAAAGGCAUACACAAACACGAUACCAUGACAAACAAUCAAACAAUUACAUGAUAAGCAUCACAGAAGAGUUCCUAAGAGCAUGCUUUCUAAUACGUUAAGGCAUUCAAUGAACAUAUAAUAAUUAAAUUACAUCGUGUAGGUACUUAUAGGUGAGCAGAAAUAAGAGAUAACGGAAAUAAGAAGAAAGCCAAGCACAACAAAAUAUGCAAUAUGUUUCCCAUAAGCCUUGAAGAACAGUAGAGAAACCUCAAAGUACUUAAUUGCUUUUGUUUAAGAGAAUAGCAACAAUAACGAUGAUUAUAGCUUAAGAGUUGUGUAUUGAGAAGUUCAAAACUUGAGAAGUGAGAAGUUAAGAAGCUGAGCCGUGUGUCCCCCUAAUGAAAGAAGAGGGGGUUUAUAUAGUAGAGGGGUCUGGAGGGUAAAACGAAAAAAAAUAUUUUACAAUCAAUCAAAACCAAUUAAGGAGAGGAAAAAUAUUUGAUUCCAAUCAGUUGAUGGGUCUUUACCAUAAAUAUACAUCCACACACAAAAUUCAGUAAAAGCCAAAUAAGGAAAGAAAAUCAAUUAAGUAAAUCAAUUAGACAUAAAUUUACCUAAGUAAAUGAGUAAAAUAAUAAAAGAAUGCAUUCACCAUAUAUAACAAUCUCAUCAGUCAAGAGAGAUUCGUUCAAUUAAUAAUUGAAUGUACCAAAAAUUAGUGAAUAAAAGAAUGCAUAUGUCUAUUCAGGAAAAUCAGCCGGAUAAAUAAACAAUUACCAUGAUUAACAGAUUAACACCAAAAAUUCAGCAAUUAGUCCCAAUCAUUAGAAUAAAUUAAUUCUAUCGAUAUACCGAAUCAAUUCAGCACUGUCAGUAAUGAGUAAACACAGUCGCAUGCUUUAUCAUGAAUACUGAUUCAAAUUUAUUUUCAAUAUGAACUAAGUCGCAACAUAGCCCUCAUGCAAAAUUUCAAAAACAAGUAGAAAUCAAUACAUGAUAUUAAGUUAAGAAUUCUCAUGUAUAAGCAUAUUUAAUCAGUCAAAUGCAAGUCACAGAAGAUGCUUCCUCAGAUUAAUUUUCAAUUCACAAAAAUCUAUCAAAUUAGUAAGCAAAAGAGACUUUCAUGAGACUAGAGUAUGAUACCGAACCAAACCUGGGAUGGGUUAUAAAGAACCCAUCAUUUUAGGAAAGGAUGUGGAUGUUGAUAACAUUGUGGUGGUGCAAUUUGGAAGGCGAUGGGGCUGGUUGCUACUUUCGCCGAAGAGGAGGAUGAACGGAGGAAGGCAGUGUGGGUUCGGGCUUCUGCUAACGACUGGUUGAUGUUGUUUUUGUUGUCGUCGAUGGAUGGUAGCACGGUGGCGCUGGUUUUGAUCGCGAUUGGCGGGGAUGGGAGAAGGACUUCUGGAGUUGGAUGGCGACGGGCUUCCUUGGUCGUUGACCGGUGGAUGGAGGCGCGAGGCAGCGAGGGUGGACGGGUGAAGAUAGAGAGAGUGAGGGAAGAUGGAGGGAGAGGGAGGGAGAAGUUAGAGAGAGAGCUUGAGGGAGGCAAC